rnacentral:rRNA from 1 species
AACAGGAUUAGAUACCCUGGUAGUCCACGCCGUAAACGAUGAUAACUAGCUGUCCGGGGACUUGGUCUUUGGGUGGCGCAGCUAACGCAUUAAGUUAUCCGCCUGGGGAGUACGGCCGCAAGGUUAAAACUCAAAUGAAUUGACGGGGGCCUACACAAGCGGUGGAGCAUGUGGUUUAAUCCGAAGCAACGCGCAGAACCUUACCAGCGUUUGACAUGUCCGGACGAUUUCCAGAGAUGGAUCUCUUCCCUUCGGGGACUGGAACACAGGUGCUGCAUGGCUGUCGUCAGCUCGUGUCGUGAGAUGUUGGGUUAAGUCCCGCAACGAGCGCAACCCUCGCCUUUAGUUACCAUCAUUCAGUUGGGGACUCUAAAGGAACCGCCGGUGAUAAGCCGGAGGAAGGUGGGGAUGACGUCAAGUCCUCAUGGCCCUUACGCGCUGGGCUACACACGUGCUACAAUGGCGGUGACAGUGGGCAGCAAACUCGCGAGAGUGCGCUAAUCUCCAAAGGCCGUCUCAGUUCGGAUUGUUCUCUGCAACUCGAGAGCAUGAAGGCGGAAUCGCUAGUAAUCGCGGAUCAGCAUGCCGCGGUGAAUACGUUCCCAGGCCUUGUACACACCGCCCGUCACACCAUGGGAGUUGGGUUCACCCGAAGGCGUUGCGCUAACUCGCAAGAGAGGCAGGCGACCACGGUGGGCUUAGCGACUGGGGUGAAGUCGUAACAAGGUAACC